rnacentral:misc_RNA from 1 species
GAUGAAGAACGUAUCGAAAUGCGAUACUUGGUGUGAAUUGCAGAAUCCCGUGAACCAUCGAGUCUUUGAACUCAAGUUGCGCCCGAAGCCAUUAGGCCGAGGGCACGCCUGCCUGGGCGUCACACGUCGUUGCCCCCCCAUCUACUCCUUCGGGAUUGCGGGGGGCGGAUGAUGGCCUCCCGUGCGCCUCGUCGCGCGGUUGGCCUAAAUGCCAAGUCCUCGGCGACGCACGCCACGACAAUCGGUGGUUGCGAAACCUCGGUUGCCUGUCGUGUGCGGUCGUCGCGCAUCGAGGGCUCGAAAAAAUUGCCGGGCUUCGGCUCGACUUUCAACGCGACCCCAGGUCAGGCGGGGUUACCCGCUGAAUUUAAGCAUAUCAAAAGCGGAGGA